AAUGAACGUUGGCGGCGUGGAUUAGGCAUGCAAGUCGUGCGGAAAGGCUCCUUCGGGAGUACUCGAGCGGCGCAAGGGAGAGUAACGCGUGGAUAUCUACCCCCUGGACUGGGAUAGCGGCGGGAAACUGCCGGUAAUACCAGAUAACGUCUGCGGACCAAAGGUGUGAUUCCGCCGGGGGAUGAGUUCGCGUCCUAUUAGCUAGUUGGUAGGGUAAUGGCCUACCAAGGCAAAGAUGGGUACCGGGUGUGAGAGCAUGGCCCGGCUCACUGGGACUGAGACACUGCCCAGACACCUACGGGUGGCUGCAGUCGAGAAUCUUCGGCAAUGGGCGCAAGCCUGACCGAGCGACGCCGCGUGCGGGAUGAAGGCCUUCGGGUUGUAAACCGCUGUCAGAGGGGAGGAAAUGCAUGGGAGUUCUCUUUCAUGUUUGACCUAUCCUCAGAGGAAGUACGGGCUAAGUUCGUGCCAGCCGCCGCCGUAAAAC
rnacentral:rRNA from 1 species